CGGAUUUCUUCAUCUGCGUGGUUUUCUGGAGAGUCCAGACUGCAGACUGCAGACUCAGAGGUUGAUCAACUGCAGAUUGUCAAAGAUCAGCUGUGCUGCUCUGGUCACAACUCUGAAUUUAAACCCGUCCCACCUGACAGAACUGGACCUGAGAGACAACAACCUUCAGUCUUCAGAUGUUCAGCAGCUCCAGGAUCUGGUGGAGAGUCCAAACUCCAAACUGCAGACUCUGAGGUGGGAGGGAAAGGGCAGGAGAAUCUGAGGUUCCUCCUGAUGGAUCAGAGAGAAGCAGCAGCACUGAUGGAGAACUGCACUUCAUCUUCUCAUUCUAACUUGGAGUGUUGGGAAGUCUUCUGCUUCUCUUCUCUCUCGUAUUUGGAGCUUCUCUUAACUUUGUCCACUCACUCUUGCUGUAGUUUUCUCCUCAUGUGUCCUGAAACUGUUUCUCUGAAUGAUCUGUGUUGGUGAUUCAUCAGAUUCAGACAUGAUGGUUUCCUGCUGGAGUGGACCAGCAUUCUCUGAACAUCCUUCAGCUGAUCCAGAAAGCAGCAGCAUGGCUGUUGACCAAAGAAAGAAAACCUUCCAGCAGUUCUGGCCUCAGGAUUCUCCAUCUGGGAGCAUUUUGGUUCUUCUUUUUCAUCUUUAUCAGACCUUUCAGAACCACAAAGUGGACUGAGUUCCUCUGAUAAAGGCUGCUGGGUUUUGUAUUUUGCUCAUUAUUUUACAGGAUGUUGUUCUAUUGUAACCAUGGUAACUGUGGGAACCGCACUCCUGUUUACUCUGAGUCCUGAAGCAGAAAUCCCACCAGAACUAACAAAAGUCUCUCAGUUGAAUCAUUUUUAUAUCAUCUCUGUUCUGUUGAUGAUAAAAUAUUGACUCAUGCAGUUUGAAAGAAUCACAGUUUUAGUUUGAUUUUUUCUACAGUUUGAUGAUUGAACUUCCUUUUUCUUUGUUGUUUUCUGGGUAAAACUCUGUUCUUUUUCAUGCUGACAGCAUUUUUAUCUGCAGUUUUUAAGAAGUUUCAUCUAAAUCCAGUAGAAUCUGAUCAUUUUCUAGAAAGUCUGAAACUAGUAGAAACUUUCUGAGCAUAAAGCCUGUUUUCUCCAUGAAUGAACAGAGUGGAUGUUAAUGAGGAAUGACAGAGAAUCACUUUGAUGCAGCUGCUGCAACAACACUAACUGCAUUGAAGCAGGAGGGAGAAAGGAGACACCUGCUGGCUGUUUCCAGAACUGCAUCUUAGUGUCUAAAGGUUCAAACUGAAAGCUGUCUGUCAAAUUCCUGCAGCCUGUUUGGAUCUAAUAAAUGCUCUUUUGAAUCAA